rnacentral:tRNA from 1 species
GCCCCCGUAGCUCAGUGGAUAGAGCGGUGGUGUCCUAAACCAUGCGCGCAGGUUCGAUUCCUGCCGGGGGUA